rnacentral:lncRNA from 1 species
CUAGAAUGAAUCUGCAACAAACCUGGACAACAUUGAACAAACAACUAUGACUAAACAAGCUACACGAAAUGAAAGUAUAAGAGGGUUUGAGUCACAAGACAAUAUCCAGAUCAUAACCCUAGAAAUAACCCGGAUAACAGAAAUGACAACAAAAUAAACCACCAAUACUCUUCCCCGACUGACCAAGAAAAGAGCGUCUCCCCAAUUACCAAGCAUGGUAUCUUAUCCACUGAAUUCUGCAUCAACAAUACUAAGAACUUCCAACGACUUUUCCAAGUAAAUCAUAUCUGCCAUGUGCGUCUUAUUUUGCACAGGGGAUGGACUUUGGCUGUUGUUUGCUGCAUAUAUAUUUGGCAUAACAAUGGUACCUACACCAAUAAGAUCCUGGAUUACCUUCUUCAGCCUCCAACACUUUUCUGUGUCGUGUCCUGGGGCAUUUGAGCAAUAUGGCGCACCUUUGGUUAAAGUAAAACUUCUUUGGGAGAGGGUUCGGUAUUUUUAUCAAAAUAGGCUUCCACACGCCUGAACUCCUUAGCCGCUGGAAUAGAUUGGUGUAUGACCCUUCUGAAGGAAUGUAGGCUUUCUUCUUCCGCAACCUCGAAUCCCUCCAUGCUUGAUUGGGCCGAAAACCUGAUCUAGAGAGUUUCUGGCAGAGUCACGGGGCGGGUGAGAC